rnacentral:rRNA from 1 species
GACGAACCGAGCGAACGUUGUUCGGAAUCACUGGGCUUAAAGGGCGCGUAGGCGGGUGCUCAGGUCUGUGGUGAAAUCCUCCGGCUCAACCGGAGAACUGCCAUGGAUACUGGGUGUCUCGAGGGUGGUAGGGGUAUGCGGAACUAUCGGUGGAGCGGUGAAAUGCGUUGAUAUCGAUAGGAACUCCGGUGGCGAAGGCGGCAUACUGGACCACUUCUGACGCUGAGGCGCGAAAGCCAGGGGAGCAAACGGG